rnacentral:sRNA from 1 species
GAAGUUACCAGGAUCAAUAAUGCUGAGGCAGCAAACACGGAAGUAUUUACCACAGGCUCAUGGGUGUCAACUUACUUCCGUGGAAAUGGUGGACGGUGACCUUGGCCAACAUAGCGUAGUACUCAAUUUCUGACUUCCGAAGAGGUGGGCAGUUGAGAGCAUUGAUCCAUCUUACCCUUGGAGUUCCUGAGGGUCCUGAGGACGGUCUUGUAGCCGAGCGUGUACUUGCCGCUCUUCAUCACGAGCUGCAGCUUGUUGUUGAUGUUGUCCGUGGACUUCUU